rnacentral:rRNA from 1 species
GACGAACGCUGGCGGCGUGCUUAACACAUGCAAGUCGAACGGAAAGGCCUGCUUUCCCUUGUGGAUUGCGGGUACUCGAGUGGCGAACGGGUGAGUAACACGUGAGUGAUCUGCCCCCAACUUGGGUAUAAGCCUGGGAAACUGGGUCUAAUUCCCGAUAGGACUGCAGGGUGGUGCCUGUGGUGGAAAACGAUUUUCUAGUGGUUGGGGAUGAGCUCGCGGCCUAUCAGCUUGUUGGUGGGGUAAUGGCCUACCAAGGCGGCGACGGGUAGCCGGCCUGGGAGGGGGAACGGCCACAUUGGGCCGGAGAAACGGCCCAGACUCCUACGGGAGGCGGAAGGGGGGAAGAUUGCACAAUGGGCGGAAGCCUGAUGCAGCGACGCCGGGUGGGGGAUGCCGGCUUUCGGGUUGUAACCUCCUUUGGACCGCGAGGAAGCCACGUGGUUGGAAGGGUGGUGAGGGUAGUGGUAGAAGAAGCACCGGCUAACUACGUG